UCCAAAUGAUGACUGAUUGAAGUCUCGUUCGUCUGAAACUCUUUGAAGAACACUUAAGCAUGGUGGAGUUCUGAUGGAG
rnacentral:snoRNA from 1 species